rnacentral:rRNA from 1 species
UUUGUAUUAAAUUUACUUAUUAUUAUGGUGUAAUGAAUUUAAAUUGUUAAAAUCAUUUUAUUUGUUUUUGUAUAUUGGUAAUAAUUUAAUUUUUUUGGUGAUAUGAUAUUUGUACUGUGAAGGUUGGUUGUAAUAUAUGUUGUUAUUAAUUAAGUUUAUUUUAUUUAUUGUACCUUGUGUAUCAGGGUUAAUUAAUUACUUUUUAUGAAUUUUGAUGAUCUCGAUUUUAUAAGAGCUAAUUUGUUAUUUUAGUUAUUGUUUUAUAAAUAUUAAUAAUAAUUAAUUAGUGGUGAAAUGUCAGGCGUUUAUGAGGGUAUCUAGUUUUUUGGGAAAUAAAUUUAAUUUACAUUUUUUCUUUAAAUUUUUUUCUUUAUAAUUUAAUUUAAGUUUAAAUGAUUAAUAAGGGGGAUAAGCUCUUUUUUAAAUUUUUAUGGAAUAUAAUUUUAAUAAGUUAUGUGGAUUUAAUAAUGGUUGUCAUUAUGAGUUUGUUAAAAUUUUACUUGUUUUUUAUUUGAUUUUAGUUUUCCUUGAUUUGUACUAAAAAUUUUUAAUAAAUCUUUUCUUAAUUUUAAUUAUGAUUAAAUUAGUAUAUAUAUAUAUUAUUUUAGUAUUGAAUAUUUAUUAUUGUGAAUGGAUUUGAGGAAUUAGGCAAGGGGUUUAUUCGCCUGUUUAACAAAAACAUCUCUUCUUGAAUUGUAAUAUGAGGUAUAACCUGCUCAAUGAAUAUUUAAAUGGCCGCGGUAUAUUGACCGUGCAAAGGUAGCAUAAUCAUUAGUCUUUUAAUUGUGGGCUGGAAUGAAUGGUUGGACGAGAUAACAUCUUUCUUAAGUUUAAAAAUUUGAAUUUAAUUAUUGUGUUAAAAAGCUCAAAUUUAUUUUUGGGACGAGAAGACCCUAUAGAGUUUUAUAUUUAAUUUAUUUUUUGGUAUUUGGUAUUUUAUAAAUUAGAUUAAGUAUUUUGUUGGGGUGAUGUGAAGAUAUAAUUAACUCUUUUUAUUGUUGCUUAUGAAUUAAUAUUUUUUUGAUCCAUUUUUAGUGAUUAAAAGACUAAAUUACCUUAGGGAUAACAGCGUAAUCUUUUUUGAGAGUUCUUAUCGACAAAUAAGGGUUGCGACCUCGAUGUUGGAUUAAGAUUAAUCUUGGGUGCAAAAGCUUGAGGUUUAGGUCUGUUCGACCUUUAAAUUCUUACAUGAUCUGAGUUCAAACCGGCGUGAGCCAGGUUGGUUUCUAUCUAUUAAUAAAUUUGAUAUUUUAGUACGAAAGGACCAAAUAUUGGAAAUAAUUUUUUGUUGUUGAAUAAUAUUAAUAUUUA